rnacentral:rRNA from 1 species
CCUACGGGAGGCUGCAGUGAGGAAUAUUGGUCAAUGGACGAGAGCCUGAACCAGCCAAGUAGCGUGAAGGAUGACUGCCCUAUGGGUUGUAAACUUCUUUUAUAUGGGAAUAAAAUGUUCCACGUGUGGGAUUUUGUAUGUACCAUAUGAAUAAGGAACGGCUAACUCCGUGCCAGCAGCCGCGGUAAUACGGAGGAUCCGAGCGUUAUCCGGAUUUAUUGGGUUUAAAGGGAGCGUAGGUGGAUUGUUAAGUCAGUUGUGAAAGUUUGCGGCUCAACCGUAAAAUUGCAGUUGAAACUGGCAGUCUUGAGUACAGUAGAGGUGGGCGGAAUUCGUGGUGUAGCGGUGAAAUGCUUAGAUAUCACGAAGAACUCCGAUUGCGAAGGCAGCUCACUGGACUGCAACUGACACUGAGGCUCGAAAGUGUGGGUAUCAAACAGGAUUAGAUACCCCUGUAGUC